rnacentral:rRNA from 1 species
GACGAACGCUGGCGGCGUGCCUAAUACAUGCAAGUAGGACGCAUUUUCGAACAGGUGAGUAACGCGUAGGUAACUUCCUAUUAGAGGGGGAUAACUAUUGGAAAAGAUAGCUAAUACCGCAUACUCGUAGAUGGACCUGAUUUGUCUUAGCUAGUAGGUAGGGUAAUGGCGUAACUAGGAGACUCUACAUAGCCGACCUGAGAGGGGGAGCGGCCACAAUGGGACCGAGACACGGCCCAGAUCCCUACGGGAGGCAGCAGUAGGGAAUCGUCGGCUAUGGGGGGAACCCGGACCGAGCAACGCCGCGUGAGUGAAGAAGGUGUGCGGAGCGUAAAGCUCUGUUGUUAAGGAAGCGGUACUUAACCAGAAAGGGACGGCUAACUACGUGCCAGCAGCCGCGGUAAUUC